UUUUCCUUGGUUCAUUAUUCCAAUGAAGUAUUGAUGAUAGAAGAUCUUCUAGUAAUUUAGAUAGGCAUUACAUGCAAGUUGGGAGCCAAGGCAUUCAUGUCACAGAUUUCCAUGGCAGCAGUAUGUUAAAGUUGGAGCUGUUCUUCGCCAAUUCGGAUACACUGUGGUUGCUUUAAUGGCUGUUUGAGAACAGAAAUUCAGGCAAAAAUUGGGCAUGAAAAUAAGCACUCUAGAAGCAAAUAAUCAAGACAAAAGAAGGAUUGGAGUGAGGACAGAUUAUCAUGACAAAGUACACCAAAAACUAUGAUUGAGAUUUUAUGUAUUAAGAGCUAUAUGUUAAGACAUUUAUAAUUAAAAAAUUAUGUUAUGUUAGAUACUUUA